ACCAACUGUACAACAACGCGAACUGGCGGUGGCAGCUUAUUGCUACAAUUGGCCGUCAGACACUGGCGACCACCUACCGCACCUUGACAACACAAAACAGUAGGACUAAGACAAGCCAAGAAAGUACUUGGAGGCGAGCAGAGAAGCUUAUCAGACGUGAUAAGAGCAAGAUCAAGGUAUAGGAGAAGACGGUACCUGCAGCUUCUGUCAGGAUGAA